AACUUCUGAAUGUUGACCUCGGAUCAGGUAGGAAUACCCGCUGAACUUAAGCAUAUCAAUAAGCGGAGGAAAAGAAACCAACAGGGAUUGCCCUAGUAACGGCGAGUGAAGCGGCAACAGCUCAAAUUUGAAAUCUGGCUCUCGGGCCCGAGUUGUAAUUUGUAGAGGAUGACUUUGAUGCGGUGCCUUCCGAGUUCCCUGGAACGGGACGCCAUAGAGGGUGAGAGCCCCGUCUGGUUGGAUGCCAAAUCUCUGUAAGUCUCCUUCGACGAGUCGAGUAGUUUGGGAAUGCUGCUCUAAAUGGGAGGUAUAUGUCUUCUAAAGCUAAAUACCGGCCAGAGACCGAUAGCGCACAAGUAGAGUGAUCGAAAGAUGAAAAGCACUUUGAAAAGAGAGUUAAAAAGUACGUGAAAUUGUUGAAAGGGAAGCGUUUAUGACCAGACUUGGGCUUGGUUAAUCAUCUGGGGUUCUCCCCAGUGCACUUUUCCAGUCCAGGCCAGCAUCAGUUUUCGCCGGGGGAUAAAGGCUUCGGGAAUGUGGCUCCCCUCGGGGAGUGUUAUAGCCCGUUGUGUAAUACCCUGGCGGGGACUGAGGUUCGCGCUUCUGCAAGGAUGCUGGCGUAAUGGUCAUCAACGACCCGUCUUGAAACACGGACCAAGG
rnacentral:rRNA from 1 species